ensembl:ncRNA B0365.8 ncRNA
AAGGGCAAUUAGUGCACACAGAAGGAAAAUGAAUUGAGGAGGAGGUGAUGGAAAAGAGAACACAUGGCGCAAAAAGCAAUGAGCAUGUGGGAUUAGGUGGGAAGAAUGCGCGGAAAUGUAUCGAACACGGUAAACAA